UACGAAGGGGGCUAGCGUUGCUCGGAAUUACUGGGCGUAAAGGGCGCGUAGGCGGAUAUUUAAGUCGGGGGUGAAAGCCCAGGGCUCAACCCUGGAAUUGCCUUCGAUACUGGAUAUCUUGAGUUCGGGAGAGGUGAGUGGAAAUGCCGAGUGUAGAGGUGAAAUUCGUAGAUAUUCGGCGGAACACCAGUGGCGAAGGCGACUCACUGGCCCGAUACUGACGCUGAGGCGCGAAAACGUGGG
rnacentral:rRNA from 1 species